CCCUUGCAUGAGAAAAGCAGGAAUGUAGUAACAAGCAGUAAGUGUGAGUUACUGCAGGAACCAAAAAGCAUUAACUUUGCUUUCCAAAGACUUUAUAUUUCAGAAUGUCCUAAACUUCUGAACACAUUAUUUUACCUGUUUUUUUGUUUUGUUUUGUUUCUUGAUAUCUAUAAAAUGGAUAAUUAUAUUACCUUGUGCAUAUGGGCGUUAUGAGGAAUAAAUGGUAUAAUGUUUUAUAAAGUGCUGGGCAAAACACCAGGCACAUAUUCACACCUCACACUUGUUCAUUUGCUGUCUUAUCACUUUAAUAUCAUUCAUCCAAAAAGCUAUGGCCUUCAUUGUUGUCAUAUUAAAAUAACCCUAGUCUCAUAAAAGUUGUGGCACACAUAAACAACAAAAGUCACAAGAAAUAGAAUCUAAAUAUUUGUUCCCAUUUAAAAUAAAAAGAGUGCUUCUUUUGGGAGAGAUACAAAAUACCAUGGUGAAAUUUUUAAGUAAAAAUUAUUAGCUAUAGUGAAAUAGUGGUUUUGCCCAAAUGGCCAUAAAGCAGCAGAAUAGCCAACUCUAUCAGGUAGCCAAGCAGGAAAUUUUUUAUUCACCUUAGGAAAAAAUGAAUUAUUUUCCAAAAUGUAUCACUCCAUAUAUUCUCACUUAGCAUGGCCAUCCUCGUUCAUACAUCCAAGAAGCUGUCCAUUAAAAUGCCAAAUGGACAGUAUCUCCAGGCAAAUGGUUUGACUUCCUUAAAGAUCUAGUUUCUUUGUAAAAUUUUACUGCUGUUCUGACACCAACUUGUGCCACAUUUUUUACUUUCUAUGGUUCAUAACCGAACUGAACUGAGAACUGUUUCCUAAAACCAAUAAAAAAUUCAAUUACAUUUUGGGAUAAAUUCCAGUGAUAUCUUUAAUACUAACUUACCCAUUUAAGAAGUAUAGUAGAAGUCUCUAUGAAAAAUGCUCUUAAUUCAGAUACUUUUCUGGCUGACAUUACCAGCAACCUAAAAACCAGUGUGAUGGAUGGAAAAAGUUAAAAAUAUUUCACUCUGUGGUUCCAACAUUUCAGAAGCGCAAUUGCUGGGAACUAGAUUUAAGCUUUAAUUAGGAAAUGUAUAUAUCACAGGGUUGCUCCUUUCCUGUGAUCCGGGGAGAAAACGUUUUUAUGUGCGUGUGUUGAAAUGCAGAGAUCAAUAAAAAUCAAGUUUGACAACACCAAGACCAAAGAAGCUUUGAGGAAUUUGGAGAUUUAGAAGAUUAUCUCCAUAAACCUGGGACCACGCCACUUAAUUAUUCUAUCACUGGGGCUACAAACUAGAAACGGAAAUCCUUUGCUUAAAUAUUAAUAAUUAGACAUUUUAACACUUUAUUCCAAAGACAAAGUGUACUUCACAAAAAGUCUGUUAAUUAUGUAGCCAUUUAUUUGUUUUGAACAGUAAAUAUAUUUCUAAUCAUUAAAAAUAAGAAAGAUAUAGUCAUAUGUAAAGAUUAAUGAAUGGGUUAGAAAGGAAAUAAAAGGUGAACAGUUCAAAGGAGCAAGUAGUGCAGGGAAGAAUGUUUCUAUUUCUUUGCUCAUAUUAACCAUGAGAGAGCAAGGAAUAGAGUAGGAUGGGUGUGUGUGGGUGUGUGGGUGUGAACGCGUACACGCAGGCACCUGAUCAUUUAAUCAAUAUCAACUAUCACAACAGAUAAUUCAAGCCUAAAAUUUAACUUUGGAGCUCACUUCUCUUUUGAAGGGUGUAAAUGAGUUGAUCUGAAUGGCACAAUGGAGUUGAUCCUCUCACGUUUUCUGGUGGAAGCUCAUUUUCUUACAAGUGCUUGAUAACCACACACUUGAACAGCCAGGCCUCAGAUCCGCUUCCUCCUCUCAUGUCUCGAUGUGAAGCACAAAGCUGUAAGUGGGACAGCCUGUAGGACCGAUGCUAAAAGCUUUGUUGUGGGAAUUCCUAAAGCGUAUUCCUAUAAAUAGGAUGGUCUGCAUUCACUCAAGUUGUGCACACUGACCCAAAUAGGAAUGAUGCAUAUGAUUCACAAAUGUGUACAUCAAUACGCUGGGAAUCAAAUGGGCAGGCAUCGUUCCCAAACGUGGAUGUUUCCUUAGAAACAUCCUCAGUAUUUUUAUCUGCCUCUCCUUCUAAGCGGUUUUUGAAACAAAUUCUAAACAAAUAAUUGGAAGAAAAUAGUUUUUAACAUAUAUGUAGACAAAGAGUUAAGACAUCCCAGUAGAAACAUAUCCUACAAAUUGUUAACAUAAAGGCAGCACACCCAAUAUGAAAUAGACUGCCUGUUCACAAAGAUAAUGCAAACGGAAAAACAUGGCACUACAAAUGAAAUCCACGUAUAAAAGAUAGUCUAACUUCUUUAGUAAGCAGGUAAAUGGAAAUUACAACCAAAAAAAAAAACAUUUCUGACUUAUUAGAUUAAGAACAAUGUAAAAAUUUGUUAAUAUCCAGUACGAUUAAGGGUACAGGAAAACAGGCAGGCACACUCAUCCAUUGCUGGAAAAGUAUGAAUUACUGCCAACUUUUUUCGGGGUUUUCUUCUGGCUCUGUCUAUUAAAAUUUAAAAACUACAACGGCUUAGUGUUAAGAAGCUUCUAUCCUACAACAACAACAACAAAAAAACAGCCAUGUGUCAAGAUGCAUGUACAACUAUAACAUCGAAGAAAAGUCUGUAAGAACCAAAAGUAUAAACUACUUAAAUAUCUAUUAACAGGGAAGAAAAACACGAUGUGCAAAUAAGUCUUAGACUGAAUUGCCUAGAAACUGAUGCUGAGAUUAAAAAAAAGGGGGGGGGGGGGAGGAAGGGAGGUCAAUGUGCGAUCUCCAGCAGCGACCCACAGUAGGUAACUGGGUCAGUGGUACAGAGAGAUUCUGGAGACUACUGGGAUCACAUUCAACCCUGUCCUAGACAGAUGCCCACCCCUGUGAGGCAUGGUUCCGGGCUCCGCCUAGGGAAUAUGAAACAGACUAUGACAGCUGGAAUCAAGUCCUUCAGAGAGAAGAAGAUGCUGGGAGUGAAAGUGCACCAAGGAGCCAGUGGGCACAAAAUGGAAAGACCUGCUACUCAAUAGGGUAUUAUAUGCUAUAAAAAAAAAAAGAAUAAAUUAGAGACAUACAUUUAACUAUAGAGUUGACCGUGAUAUAUGAUAAGACAUCAGGUUUUUCUUUUCUGGGAGUGGGAAGCCUUAUUUAUUUAUUUAAAUAAGGCUAAAGUGUGAAAUGAUAAAUAUCAAGAUGUUAACAUAAAAGCUACUGUAGAAUCGUAGGGGAGAAGUAGCCUGAAAGAAUGGCAAACAGAAAGAACUAGCAACCUUUUAUGUGUAUGCUCUUUUAUACUUUUGUUUGGCCUGUGCAUACAUUGCACCCGUAAAUUAAUAGACAAAUAAAGUAAAAGAUCAAAUAUGCCACAUCAAAAUUAACUUCCAUAAGCUCUUUUCCUUUAAUUGAAAAUGCUCAGAUUAAAAUAUUUUCUCAGAGUUAAUAGGCUUGCCCUUUUAACUGCAAGCUGAGAAAUGCCUUUGGGACUUAAGUCUACAUAUGUGACCUGAAAUUAACAGACAAACACACACAGACAUUCUGGGCAAUGGGGGAAUAAGGCAGAAAGAAAUGGAAAUCUGUAUGUUAAGGCAUUGCAACGAUGAUAUUCAAAAUGCAAGCAUCUCCAUUAAUUAUAAAACUCCAAGGAAUCAAUAGCAGGAGAAUGCGUAAAUGAAUUAAAAUCCAUUAAACAGAAUCAUGACUACAUAGGCAUUAAAUUAUGUUUUUGAAAAAUCAGUGCUGGCUUAAAAACAGAAGCAUGAUACAAUGUGAGGUUUAAAAAAGGAAUGUAAAUACAUAAUAAAAAAAAAAAAUAAAAAAGGAAUGUGUUGUACUGUAUAGAUAAAUGAUUCUUCUUACAUAAAUAUAUCGGGUAUCUACGUUUCUGCAUGUAUACAUAUACAUACGUGUAAGUAAGAAUACAUUUCUCUGGAAGAACACAUGUCAUCUACACUUUAAUAGUGGUUAUACCUAGAUUAUAACCUAGGUAUAUGGGAAUAUGGCUGAUUUUAAAAGUUUCUUUUCUUUUACUUUUCUGCAUUGUUUUUCUUUCAAUGUCAUGCUUUAGUAUUUUCCUUUUUUAAAGAUUGAUUUAUUUAUUUGAGAGAAGAGAGAGAGAGAGAGAGAGAGCACACAAGUGAGGGCAGGGGCACAGAGAAAGAAUCUUCAAGCGGACUCCCUGUUGAGUGCAGAGCCCAAAGCAGGGCUAGAUCCCAGGACGCAUGAGAUCUUGACCUGAGCAGAAACCAAGAGUUGAAGCUCAGCCAAGUAAGCCACCCAGGCACCCCUAGAUUUUUUAAGUAAAACCAAAUCAAGUAAUAAAACAACUUGCUUCUUUAGAAAAAAAAAGAUACUCAUAAAGAAGUAAGCUCCCAUCUGCACAGCAAUUUUGACAGAUUAAUAAUGGAAAAAAGAUAUGUACAUUGUCUUCUGUUGAAAUGCAUGUAUUUGAUGCCCAGGGAGAGGUGACAAAUCUUUCCAUGUUUCAAACAUUACCUACCAUCAACAGACUAUUCCCAACAUUCAAGAAAUCUUUCUGUAACUUUAUACAUACAACAUGCAGAAACAGUAAAUGACACUAUAGGGAAAAAACAAACAAACAAACAAACAAACAAACAAACGAACAAAAAAACCUUGAAUCCCUCCAAUACUGCAUUGCCUUGGAAACAGUAAGGCACCAAAGAGACUCACAGAAUUCCAAUAAAAAGAAAAACCAAACCAAAACAAAACAAAUUCCUUUCUAGACUUUGUGUUUU
rnacentral:lncRNA from 1 species